rnacentral:rRNA from 1 species
CCUACGGGCGGCAGCAGUGGGGAAUAUUGGACAAUGGGGGCAACCCUGAUCCAGCCAUGCCGCGUGUGUGAAGAAGGCCCUCGGGUUGUAAAGCACUUUCAGUGAGGAAGAACGCCUGGUGGUUAAUACCCAUCAGGAAAGACAUCACUCACAGAAGAAGCACCGGCUAACUCCGUGCCAGCAGCCGCGGUAAUACGGAGGGUGCGAGCGUUAAUCGGAAUUACUGGGCGUAAAGCGCGCGUAGGUGGCUUGAUAAGCCGGUUGUGAAAGCCCCGGGCUCAACCUGGGAACGGCAUCCGGAACUGUCAAGCUAGAGUGCAGGAGAGGAAGGUAGAAUUCCCGGUGUAGCGGUGAAAUGCGUAGAGAUCGGGAGGAAUACCAGUGGCGAAGGCGGCCUUCUGGACUGACACUGACACUGAGGUGCGAAAGCGUGGGUAGCAAACAGGAUUAGCUACCCUUGUAGUC